rnacentral:rRNA from 1 species
CCUACGGGAGGCAGCAGUGGGGAAUAUUGGGCAAUGGAGGAAACUCUGACCCAGCAACGCCGCGUGAAGGAUGAAGGUUUUCGGAUCGUAAACUUCUGUCGCGAGGGAUGAAGAAUGACGGUACCACGUAAGAAAGCACCGGCAAACUACGGGCCAGAAGCCGCGGUAAUAGGGAGGGGGCGAGCGUUGUCGGGAAUGACGGGGCGAAAAGGGAUUGUAGGCGGCAUAUAAAGUUAGGUGUGAAAGCCCGCGGCUAAACCGCGGAAUUGCACAUAAAACUGGUAAGCUGGAGGGCAGGAGAGGUAGGGGAAAUUCAGGGGGUAGCGGUGGAAUG